rnacentral:rRNA from 1 species
UACGGGGGGGGCAAGCGUUGUUCGGAAUUACUGGGCGUAAAGGGCUCGUAGGCGGCCAACUAAGUCAGACGUGAAAUCCCCAGGCUCAACCUGGGAACUGCGUCUGAUACUGGAUGGCUUGAAUUCGGGAGAGGGAUGCAGAAUUCCAGGUGUAGCGGUGAAAUGCGUAGAUAUCUGGAGGAAUACCGGUGGCGAAGGCGGCAUCCUGGACCGACAUUGACGCUGAGGAGCGAAAGCGUGGGGAGCAAACAGG